CUGGUGCUAAACCGCCAUCCAAAGAUGCAGAGUAAUUCUGGCUGACUCGUGCUAUCCAGAAGUUCCUAUAGGUUGUAGGAAGGUUUGGAGCAUCUCUCUGGGGCAGAGGAAGCAGGCAACUGACACAGAGAAAGUCCCGCAGGAAAGUCCUAGGAAUAGCAGAGCCUGAGGAGAAUAUUCAGACUGAGGGCUUGUCUAUGCCUACAGCACUGCAGUGGUGCAUCUACGCCGCUGUAGCACUUAGUGAAGAUGCUCUCUAUGCAGAUGGGAGAGCUUCUCUUGUUGGUGUAGGUACUCCACCUCCCCGAGGCGCUAGCUAUGUCGACGGGAGUAGCCUGAUGGGACGUAGUGCUGUCUACAUCAGGGGUUAGGUCAGUACAACUACAUCUCUCAGGGGGGUAGAUUUUCCAAGCACUAGGAAAACAGGCACCAUUCUAUCCAGGCUUAGUGCUUUCCACACACCCUGUGACACAGUUAAACCGACAUAAAUUUGUAGGCUAGCCCAGGGCUGAGGCUUGUGUUUUGUUCUGUAAUUGGAAUUACCAGUAAGGAAAAGGGGUACAUUUUGCCUGUAUAUGGUGUGUAAAGACUGUUCAAAGCAGGGUGGGAAUUUUGCUUGCUUGGCUGGCUCUUUUGGCAAAAUUAAGCAGUUUAGAGAACCUGAUAGGGAAAAUUUAUGACUUUCCCCAGAAUGCCUUAGGGUAUGUCUUUACUGCAGAGUUAUUUCAGGCUCUUACUCUAGUGUUGACUGGAGCUGGGAGAAUACCUGAUUUUUCAGUUCAGUGGCAGUUCUGAAAAAUUGCAACAACAACAACAAAAAUUAAAUUCAUUUGCAUCAAACCAAAUCUGAAUAUUUGGUUGAUCCAAAAGAGCGAGCAUUUGAACCUCGAUCUCCUGCUGCCCAGGCAGAGGAAACAAAGGGAUUUAAGGAGGCGAAGUCUAUGGACUCAAUCAUGGAUCACGAGGCUGGAAAAGGGGACCUCUUGGAUUCAAGGAAUGAAAUGACCAAAGACUUGGAUUUGCUUGUACUUGAGAGGGCUGCCCACAAUCAGAAGUAGCUGCCCUCUGACAGCUUGCUGGUGGCUUACAUGGAAUGAGUUGGUGGUCUCGGUUCAGAUCCUGAAGUAGAGCUGUCCCUGUUGCAAUAUGCAGUAUCAACAGAAAAGUCAUACUGAGUAGGCAUGGAAACGGAACUAGCUUUCCUUCCAGAACAGGGCUAAAGCACCAGGCACAGUAGCAGGAUGCUGUAGGAAAGCACGGAUGGCUAUUACCCUUACUGCUUCUCUUCUGUAAAGGACUUUGGUUUCCAAGACUGUCAGUUACUUUUCACUAAUAUUCUAGACUCUGCUUCUAAAGUCAAUUGGGUUAUCCAAGAUUAACACUGGAGUAAAUGAGAGCAGAACAUGGCACUGUGCACUGAAGAAAGACAGACGUGUAUUACAUUUUCUGUAAUUAUUUGCUUUUAUGACUGUGACCUUACUGCAGUUUUGAUCUUGUCUUUCAGUCUAAAUAAGGAGACACAAUUACACUCAUUGUUAUAAUA